UUACCCGCUGAGAACUAAGCAUAUCAAUAAGCGGAGGAAAAGAAACCAACAGGGAUUGCCUCAGUAACGGCGAGUGAAGCGGCAAGAGCUCAGAUUUGAAAUCUGGUACUUUUAGUGCCCGAGUUGUAAUCUGCAGAGAGUACUUCGGCUUAGGCUCCGGUCAAGGUCCCUUGGAACAGGGCGACAUAGAGGGUGAGAACCCCGUACUCGGCCGUUUGCCAAUGCCAUGUGAAGUCUCUUCGACGAGUCGAGUUGUUUGGGAAUGCAGCUCUAAACGGGUGGUAAAUUCCAUCUAAAGCUAAAUAUCUGCGAGAGACCGAUAGCGCACAAGUAGAGUGAUCGAAAGAUGAAAAGCACUUUGAAAAGAGAGUUAAAUAGUACGUGAAAUUGUUGAAAGGGAAGCGCUUGCCAUCAGAAUUGGGGUAGGUUGAUCAGCGUUCCUUCUGGUUCGUGCACUCAGCCUACAUCCAUGCCAGCACCAGUUGUAGCGGCAGGAUAAAGGUGGUGGGAAUGUGGCUCUCUUCGGGGAGUGUUAUAGCCCAUCGCGUCAUGCUGCCAGCCGCGACUGAGGACCGCGCCCUAGGCAAGGGUGCUGGCUUAAUGGUUGUAAGCGACCCGUCUUGAAACACGGACCAAGGAGUCUAACAUCUAUGCGAGUGUUUGGGUGUUUAAACCCACACGCGAAAUGAAAGUGAACGGAAGUGAGAGCCCGCAAGGGUGCAUCAUUGACCGAUCCUGAUGUCUUCGGAUGGAUUUGAGUAGGAGCAUAGCUGUUGGGACCCGAAAGAUGGUGAACUAUGCCUGAAUAGGGUGAAGCCAGAGGAAACUCUGGUGGAGGCUCGCAGCGGUUCUGACGUGCAAAUCGAUCGUCAAAUUUGGGUAUAGGGGCGAAAGACUAAUCGACCAUCUAAUGUUCUAA
rnacentral:rRNA from 1 species